rnacentral:rRNA from 1 species
UCCAGACUCCUACGGGAGGCAGCAGUGGGGAAUAUUGCACAAUGGGGGAAACCCUGAUGCAGCGACGCCGCGUGAAGGAAGAAGUAUUUCGGUAUGUAAACUUCUAUCAGCAGGGAAGAAAAUGACGGUACCUGACUAAGAAGCCCCGGCUAACUACGUGCCAGCAGCCGCGGUAAUACGUAGGGGGCAAGCGUUAUCCGGAUUUACUGGGUGUAAAGGGAGCGUAGGCGGUAAUGCAAGUCAGAAGUGAAAGCCCGGGGCUCAACUCCGGGACUGCUUUGGAAACUGUAUGGCUGGAGUGCAGGAGAGGUAAGUGGAAUUCCUAGGGUAGCGGUGAAAUGCGUAGAUAUUAGGAGGAACACCAGUGGCGAAGGCGGCCUGCUGGGCUUUUACUGACGCUGAGGCUCGAAAGUGUGGGGAGCAAACAGGAUUAGAUACCCCCGUAU